rnacentral:rRNA from 1 species
UACAGAGGUCCCGAGCGUUGUUCGGAUUUACUGGGCGUAAAGGGCGCGUAGGCGGCCACCGCAAGUCGGUUGUGAAAUCUCCGGGCUUAACCCGGAACGGUCAAUCGAUACUGCGGGGCUAGAGUGCAGAAGGGGCAACUGGAAUUCUCGGUGUAGCGGUGAAAUGCGUAGAUAUCGAGAGGAACACCUGCGGCGAAGGCGGGUUGCUGGGCUGACACUGACGCUGAGGCGCGAAAGCUAGGGGAGCGAACGGG